AAAGGAGCGAAAAAAUGGCGAAAGGGGUCCAUUCCAUCAAGAUGUAUCGCUUUUCUUUUUUUCUUUCAUAUUCGUUUACCAGCACAACUUGUCUUUCUCUU
rnacentral:ribozyme from 11 species